rnacentral:rRNA from 1 species
GACGAACGCUGGCGGCGUGCUUAACACAUGCAAGUCGAACGGAAAGGCCCUGCUUUUGUGGGGUGCUCGAGUGGCGAACGGGUGAGUAACACGUGAGUAACCUGCCCUUGACUUUGGGAUAACUUCAGGAAACUGGGGCUAAUACCGGAUAGGAGCUCCUGCUGCAUGGUGGGGGUUGGAAAGUUUCGGCGGUUGGGGAUGGACUCGCGGCUUAUCAGCUUGUUGGUGGGGUAGUGGCUUACCAAGGCUUUGACGGGUAGCCGGCCUGAGAGGGUGAACGGCCACAUUGGGAGUGACAUGCGGCCGGGACUCCUACGGGAGGCAGCAGUGGGGAAUAUUGCAUAAGGGGCGGAAGCCUGAUGCAGCAACGCAGCGUGCGGGAUGAAGGCCUGCGGGUUGUAUGCCGAUUUCGCCUGUGACGAAGCGUGAGUGACGGUAAUGGGUAAAGAAGCACCGGCUAACUACGUG